GACGAACGCUGGCGGCGUGCCUAAUACAUGCAAGUAGAACGCACAGUUUAUACCGUAGCUUGCUCCACCAUAGACUGUGAGUUGCGAACGGGUGAGUAACGCGUAGGUAACCUGCCUGGUAGCGGGGGAUAACUAUUGGAAACGAUAGCUAAUACCGCAUAAUAUUAAUUAUUGCAUGAUAAUUAAUUGAAAGGUGCAAUUGCACCACUACCAGAUGGACCUGCGUUGUAUUAGCUAGUAGGUGAGGUAACGGCUCACCUAGGCGACGAUACAUAGCCGACCUGAGAGGGUGAUCGGCCACACUGGGACUGAGACACGGCCCAGACUCCUACGGGAGGCAGCAGUAGGGAAUCUUCGGCAAUGGACGAAAGUCUGACCGAGCAACGCCGCGUGAGUGAAGAAGGUUUUCGGAUCGUAAAGCUCUGUUGUAAGAGAAGAACGGGUGUGAGAGUGGAAAGUUCACACUGUGACGGUAUCUUACCAGAAAGGGACGGCGAACUACGU
rnacentral:rRNA from 1 species